AGUCGAACGGCAGCCACGGACUUCGGUCUGGUGGCGAGUGGCGAACGGGUGAGUAAUGUAUCGGAACGUGCCUAGUAGCGGGGGAUAACUACGCGAAAGCGUAGCUAAUACCGCAUACGCCCUUCUGAGGAAAGCAGGGGACCUUCGGGCCUCGCACUAUUAGAGCAGCCGAUAUCGGAUUGGCCUAGUUGGUGGGGUAACGGCUCACCAGGCGACGAUCCGUAGCUGGUUUGAGAGGACGACCAGCCACACUGGGACUGAGACACGGAACUCCUACGGGAGGCAGCAGUGGGGAAUUUUGGACAAUGGAAACCCUGAUCCGUAUGCCGUGUGCGAUAAGAAGGCCUUCGGGUUGUAAAGCACUUUUGGCAGGAAAGAAACGGCACGGGAUAAUACCCCGUGCAACUGACAGUACCUGCAGAAUAAGCACCGGCUAACUACGUGCCAGCAGCCGCGGUAAUACGUAAGUGCAAGCGUUAAUCGGAAUUACUGGGCGUAAAGCGUGCAGGCGGUUCGGAAAGAAAGAUGUGAAAUCCCAGAGCUUAACUUUGGAACUGCAUUUUUAACUACCGAGCUGGUGUGUCAGAGGAGUGGAAUUCCGCGUGUAGCAGUGAAAUGCGUAGAUAUGCGGAGGAACACCGAUGGCAGGAAGGCAGCCUCCUGGGAUAACACUGACGCUCAUGCACAACGUGGGGGAGCAAACAGGAUUAGAUACCCUGGUAGUCCACGCCUAAACGAUGUCAACUAGCUGUUGGGGCCUUCGGGCCUUGGUAGCGCAGCUAACGCGUGAGGAGAUUGACCGCCUGGGGAGUACGGUCGCAAGAUUAAAACUCAAAGGAAUUGACGGGGACCCGCACAAGCGGUGGAUGAUGUGGAUUAAUUCGAUGCAGCGCGAAAAACCUUACCUACCCUUGACAUGUCUGGAAUCCCGAAAGAGAUUUGGGAGUGCUCGCAAGAGAACCGGAACACAGGUGCUGCAUGGCUGUCGUCAGCUCGUGUCGUGAGAUGUUGGGUUAAGUCCCGCAACGAGCGCAACCCUUGUCAUUAGUUGCUACGAAAGGGCACUCUAAUGAGACUGCCGGUGACAAACCGGAGGAAGGUGGGGAUGACGUCAAGUCCUCAUAGCCCUUAUGGGUAGGGCUUCACGUCAUACAAUGGUCGGGACAGAGGGUCGCCAACCCGCGAAGGGGAGCCAAUCGAAACCCGAUCGUAGUCGGAUCGCAGUCUGCAACUCGACUGCGUGAAGUCGGAGAUCGCUGGUAAUCGCGGAUCAGCAUGUCGCGGUGAAUACGUUCCCGGGUCUUGUACACACCGCCCGUCACACCAUGGGAGUGGGUUUUACCAAAGUAGUUAGCCUAACCGUAAGGAGGGCGAUUACCACGGUAGGAUUCAUGACUGGGGUGAAGUCGUAACAAGGUAG
rnacentral:rRNA from 1 species